CCUACGGGUGGCAGCAGUGGGGAAUAUUGGGCAAUGGGCGAAAGCCUGACCCAGCAACGCCGCGUGAAGGAAGAAGGCUUUCGGGUUGUAAACUUCUUUUGACAGGGAAGAGCAGAAGACGGUACCUGUCAAAUAAGCCACGGCUAACUACGUCCCAGCAUCCGCGGUAAUACGUAGGUGGAACGCGUUGUCCGGAUUUACUGGGUGUAAAGGGCGUGUAGCCGGGCUGAAAAGUCAGAUGUGAAAUCCGGGGGCUCACCCCCCGAACUGCAUUUGAAACUGUUGGGCUGGAGUAUCGGAGAGGCAGGCGGAAUUCCUGGUGUAGCGGUGGAAUGCGGAGAUAUUAGGAGGAACACCAGUGGCGAAGGCGGCCUGCUGGACGACAACUGACGGUGAGGCGCGAAAGCGUGGGGAGCAAACAGGAUUAGAUACCCCGGUAGUC
rnacentral:rRNA from 1 species